AUUUAUAUAGUUUAUUUAAAACAUUACAUUUUCAUUGUAAAAAUAAAAUACUUAUUUUUAUAAAUA
rnacentral:tRNA from 1 species